rnacentral:rRNA from 1 species
AAAGAAAGUAAAUAAGAGCGUAUGGUGGAUGCCUUGGCUCUCAGAGGCGAUGAAGGACGUGAUAAGCUGCGAUAAGCUCCGGGGAGGUGCAAAUAACCCGUGAUCCGGAGAUCUCCGAAUGGGGAAACCCUUCAUGCUGAAGGCAUGAAAUCCUGUGCAAACAGGAGGCAAACCCAGGGAACUGAAACAUCUAAGUACCUGGAGGAAAAGAAAACAACAGUGAUUCCCUCAGUAGUGGCGAGCGAACGGGGAAGAGCCCAAACCGGAACAGUUUCGGCUGUUCCGGGGUUGUAGGACGGCCAUCACGAAAAACAAUUCCAAGUGGAAGCUUCUGGAAAGCUGCACCAUAGAAGGUGAUAGUCCUGUACACGUAACGAAUUGUUUUUCAGGCCAGCUCCUGAGUAAGGCGGGACACGUGAAAUCCUGUCUGAAUCUGCGGGGACCAUCCCGCAAGGCUAAAUACUCCUGAGAGACCGAUAGUGCACUAGUACCGUGAGGGAAAGGUGAAAAGAACUUCGAACAGAAGAGUGAAAUAGUACCUGAAACCGUACGCUUACAACCUGUCGGAGUCCCGCUUUUGCGGGAUGACGGCGUGCCUUUUGCAUAAUGAGCCUACGAGUUACUUCUCACUAGCAAGGUUAAUCCUGUUGACGGGAGGAGCCGAAGCGAAAGCGAGUCUGAAUAGGGCGUUAAGUUAGUGGGAGUAGACGCGAAACUUUGUGAUCUACCCAUGGCCAGGUUGAAAUCUCGGUAACACGAGAUGGAGGACCGAACUAGUAGACGUUGAAAAGUCUUUGGAUGAGCUGUGGGUAGGGGUGAAAGGCUAAUCAAACUGAGAAAUAGCUCGUACUCCCCGAAAUGCCUUUAGGGGCAGCCUCAUGGAGAGUAUCGCAGAGGUAGAGCUACUGAUUGGGCUAGAGGGCUUCACCGCCUAUCAAACCCAGACAAACUCCGAAUGCUGUGAUAUAUACAUGGGAGUGAGCCGCCGGGUGCUAACGUCCGGUGACAAAAGGGAAACAACCCAGACCAUCAGCUAAGGUCCCCAAAUAGAUGCUAAGUUGUCCUAACGAAGUGCGAUUGCUUUGACAGCUAGGAUGUUGGCUUGGAAGCAGCCAUGCAUUUAAAGAGUGCGUAACAGCUCACUAGUCGAGCGAUUGUGCGUGGAUAAUAAUCGGGCAUGAAGCAUCUUACCGAAGCUAUGGUUCCUCCGAUUCGUCGGAGGAAGGUAGGGGAGCAUUCCAGUCUGCGCCGAAGGUGUGGCGCGAGCCAUGCUGGAGCGGCUGGAAAAGAAGAUGUAGGCAUAAGUAACGAUAAGGCCGGUGAAAAACCGGCCCACCGAUAGACUAAGGUUUCCUGAUCAACGUUAAUCGGAUCAGGGUUAGUCGGGGCCUAAGGCUUAUCCGCACCUAAGCGGAGAUGCCGAUGGAUAAUCGGUCAAUAUUCCGAUACUUGCCUGAAUUGCGAUGGGAUGACGAAGAAGUGUAAGGUCCGCGUACUGACGGAAUAGUACGUUAAAAGGCGUAGGUAUAUACCGGGGUUAACAGCUUCGGUAUGCUGAAACCUGACAGUACCGUGAGUCUUCGGACAAGCGGAUAGUGACCCUAAACAUGCUUCCAAGAAAAUUCCCUAAGCUUCAGAUUCAGGCAACCCGUACCGCAAACCGACACAGGUAGUCAAGGAGAGAAUCCUAAGGUGCUCGAGUGAUCCGUGGCUAAGGAACUAGGCAAAUUGACCCUGUAACUUCGGGAGAAAGGGUUCCCGACUCCGGUCGGGACGCAGAGAAAUGGUCCAGGCGACUGUUUAACAAAAACACAGGGCUCUGCAAAAUCGAAAGAUGACGUAUAGGGCCUGACACCUGCCCGGUGCCGGAAGGUUAAGAGGGGGGGUUAUUCCUGAGCAAUCGGGAAGAAGCUCUGAAUCGAAGCCCCGGUAAACGGCGGCCGUAACUAUAACGGUCCUAAGGUAGCGAAAUUCCUUGUCGGGUAAGUUCCGACCUGCACGAAUGGUGUAACGAUCUGGACACUGUCUCAGCCACGAGCUCGGUGAAAUUGUAGUCCCGGUGAAGAUGCCGGGUACCCGCUACGGGACGGAAAGACCCCGUGAACCUUCACUACAACUUUGCAUUGAUACUGGGUAAGUAAUGUGUAGGAUAGGUGGGAGACUAUGAAGCGGCCUCGCCAGGGGUCGUGGAGUCGCCGUUGAAAUACCACCCUUUAUUUGCUUGGUGUCUAAUCCCGCAUAGCGGGAGACAGUGCAUGGUGGGUAGUUUGACUGGGGUGGUCGCCUCCAAAAGCGUAACGGAGGCUCCCAAAGGUGCCCUCAGCACGAAUGGUAACCGUGCGCAGAGUGUAUUGGCAUAAGGGCGCUUGACUGUGAGACUGACAAGUCGAGCAGGUACGAAAGUAGGGCAAAGUGAUCCGGUGGUUCCAUAUGGAAGGGCCAUCGCUCAAAGGAUAAAAGGUACUCCGGGGAUAACAGGCUGAUCGCUCCCAAGAGCUCAUAUCGACGGAGCGGUUUGGCACCUCGAUGUCGGCUCGUCACAUCCUGGGGCUGGAGAAGGUCCCAAGGGUUCGGCUGUUCGCCGAUUAAAGUGGCACGUGAGCUGGGUUCAGAACGUCGUGAGACAGUUCGGUCCCUAUCUGUAGUGGGCGCUGGAGAUUUGAGAGGACCUGCCUCUAGUACGAGAGGACCGAGGCGGACAAACCUCUAGUGUACCUGUUGUGGCGCCAGCUGCACCGCAGGGUAGCUAUGUUUGGACGAGAUAAGCGCUGAAAGCAUCUAAGCGCGAAGCUCACCUCAAGAUGAGAUCUCCUUUAAGGGUCGUCGAAGACUACGACGUUGAUAGGCUGCAGGUGUAAAGUCAGUAAUGGCAAAGCCGAGCAGUACUAAUCACCCGUAACUUUCUUCA